rnacentral:misc_RNA from 1 species
UAAUAAGUGUUUUAUGGCACUUUUUAAAUCCAUAUCCACCUUGUGUGCAAUGUCAGUCGAUCUUCUUUCUUGAGGAUCGACCAAACAUCAACCUUUAUCUUUUAACUCUUUGUCUGAAAAAUAUUAUGAAUAAACAAUUCAAAAUA